rnacentral:rRNA from 1 species
GCCAGACUCCUACGGGAGGCAGCAGUGAGGAAUAUUGGUCAAUGGGCUUACGCCUGAACCAGCCAAGUCGCGUGAGGGAAGACUGCCCUAUGGGUUGUAAACCUCUUUUGUCAGGGAGCAACGCCGGCUACGUGUAGCCGGACUGAGAGUACCUGAAGAAAAAGCAUCGGCUAACUCCGUGCCAGCAGCCGCGGUAAUACGGAGGAUGCGAGCGUUAUCCGGAUUUAUUGGGUUUAAAGGGUGCGUAGGCGGAAUGCCAAGUCAGCGGUAAAAUCGCGGGGCUCAACCUCGCUCCGCCGUUGAAACUGGCAGUCUCGAGUUGGAGAGAAGUAUGCGGAAUGCGCGGUGUAGCGGUGAAAUGCAUAGAUAUCGCGCAGAACUCCGAUUGCGAAGGCAGCAUGCCGGUGCACAACUGACGCUCAGGCACGAAAGCGUGGGUAUCGAACAGGAUUAGAUACCCCAGUAUA